GCCCUUUUAAUGGUCUCCCUUAAGCUGACUUGGUGAAGCCAGUGGGAGGAUCAUGAUAUGCUGGUUCAUCUGACCUCAUCCUCUAAAUCAUUUAAAUCCUCUAAAAUUAUUAGGUCCUUAAAAUAAUAAAGUUAUGGAGAUAACUGAGUCAUAGCCUCCCAUUAAGGUGUUUGAUAAUGAGUCCAUUAACUCAAUAAUCAUUGC
rnacentral:lncRNA from 1 species